GGUUUGCAACUACGUGUCCCAGACUGCAUCCCUGCUGAGAGUCCCUCCCUCCCUUCUCAUGUUGCAGGAAGAACGUAAGCGCCCGCCCCUUGUCAAUCAGUCACCAUAUAAUUUUGGAUUGGUUGCUGUGGUGAAGUUUUCCACCAAUAGGAGAGAUGUUGUGGUGUGUUUCUUUUUUCUUUUGGCAAGCCUUUUCCGCCUGUAAGACCUGUCGCUAAUGUGUGCAUGCUAUGUUUUCCUGUCUCAUACAGCGCGAUCGAGCGCCGAACGUGAUCAAAAUAAGCAGAAAAAAAGUAUCGCGGACAUAAUUUAUCAUAACUCUGGUUUUAUUUGGCCUAUCAACACAAUUUAAAAACUGGUAUAUAGGUUGAGGUCCUCACUUUUGAGAUAAGUUGAAACGGAGAGUUAACGAGGCUCCGUCUUGCAGCUACAUCCGGUUAAAUAUGUCAUGUGACUUGAACGCUGGGGAGCGUCAAUCGAAUCAAAUCAAACCUAACUCUCAGAUGAAUCUUCAAAAUUCACCUCAGAAAUAUGCUUAUUAUUCUUCUCAGAGUACUGCAGGAUACACACACACACACACACACAGACACACACACACACACGCACACACACACACACACUCAGAGUCUGUUUUUUAGCACCUGCAAAAACAUGCUAUUUACAUAUUUGACAAGAAUGCAGAGGCUUCCUUUUGCCCCUGAAAAAAAUCAAAUUUCAAACACAACUUGACUGCUCAUUUCUCCAAAAGACAACCAUGAAGCUCCAUCCAAACCUGAAGCAGGCAGUUGGUGCAUGUGUACAGUAACCUGAGGGGAGUGAGGUGACUGCUUCUGAGGAGAACAUGAGCAGUGAAGAUUCACCUUGGAGCUAGAACAGGGACGUGCACAUGAUAAUACAGGGGCAGGGGCUCAAGUUUUUUCCAGUCGUUUAUACAAUAUGGAAAUUAAUGUGAAAUUAAAAAACAAAGUAUGACUGUCCUGUGUAGGUGACAGUGAUAUCCAAUAGGCUAGGCACUCACGAGGCUGGCUGUGGCAAGUGUAAGUGAAAGCAACAUGCACUGGCAGGAAGAACAGCAAACGCCGAUGAAGGAAAAGGGUCUUUGCAGUGAUGGGCGUUACCAGAGAGGGCGAUGGCCAGAGGACACGAAUGGGACGGGGAGGCAGCGCGUUGGGGGGGGGGGGUGCGACAUGGCUCGGGCCCGCCAGUGCCCCAACGGGGCCCUAGUUCUUUCUUUCUUUCUUCUUUUUCCUCCCCUUUGAACUGGAAAAUGGCCCACUUCCCACUGGCGAAAACUCAUGAAAUUUGGCAGGACGACCGGGCCUGGUGAAAAAUUCGAUAUUCUGAAGUCGCCCAAACAAUAAAAUGCAAAAUGGCUCCAUAGCGCCCCCUAAGGUGGAAAUUCACACUAUUGACUGUCACGCCUGUACGCUUUGUCAUAUUGACACAAAAAUUGACACACAUAUGUAUCUCAAUAAGAUCUACAAAAAAGUCAGUGCGGCCGUAUCUGUCAAAAUUACGGUUAAAGGGUUAUUUCGCAUUUUUUGCCGAUCCGCACACAUUGGAAUUUCGCUAACUCCUCCGAAGGCUUUCGUUCCACCGGCACCACAUUUGCUCAGGCCAAUCUACACCCCGUGGCCAUUAAAAGUUAUCAAAAUCAUGACGCUGCACCCCAAGGUUUAGGUUCUAGGGGGCGCCAAAGAUAACACUAAAAUCUACAUAUUUAAAAGUCUUAUAACUUUUUAUUUUUGUCCUCACUGGCCUCCAAGUUUUCUAGGAUGAUGCAAUGUCCAGCCAUCAACACAUUUGUGAAGGAAUUUUUACUCCCCAAAAGAGCGCCCCCCAUGGCAGGAGAAAAAAGUCCAUUUUUUCUUGUCCCCUAAGGUGAAAAUACACAUUGUUGAGUGUCACGCCUAUACGCUUUGUCAAAAUGACACAAAAAUUGACACACACAUGUAACUCAAUAAGAUCUACAAAAAAGUCCAUGCGCGCGUAUCUGUCAAAUGUACAGUUAAAGGGUUAUUCCGCAUUUUUUGCCGAUACGCACACAUUGGAAUGUGGCUAACUCC
rnacentral:lncRNA from 1 species